UACAGAGGUGGCAAGCGUUGUUCGGAAUUAUUGGGCGUAAAGAGCUCGUAGGCGGUUUGUCGCGUCUGCUGUGAAAACUCGGGGCUCGACCCCGGGCCUGCAGUGGGUACGGGCAGACUAGAGUGCGGUAGGGGAGACUGGAAUUCCUGGUGUAGCGGUGAAAUGCGCAGAUAUCAGGAGGAACACCGGUGGCGAAGGCGGGUCUCUGGGCCGUAACUGACGCUGAGGAGCGAAAGCGUGGGGAGCAAACAGG
rnacentral:rRNA from 1 species